UGGGGAAUAUUGCACAAUGGACGGAAGUCUGAUGCAGCGACGCCGCGUGGGGGAUGAAGGCUUUCGGGUUGUAAACCCCUUUCAGUACAGAAGAAGCUUUAUUGUGACGGUAUGUGCAGAAGAAGUGCCGGCUAACUACGUGCCAGCAGCCGCGGUAAUACGUAGGGCGCGAGCGUUGUCCGGAAUUAUUGGGCGUAAAGAGCUCGUAGGCGGUUUGUCGCGUCUGCUGUGAAAGACCGGGGCUUAACUCCGGGGCUGCAUUGGGUACGUGCUGACUGUAGUGCGGUAUGGGUUACCGGAAUUCCUGGUGUAGCGGUGGAAUGCGCAGAUAUCAAGAGGAACACCGAUGGCGAAGGCAGGUUACUGGGCCGUUACUGACGCUGAGGGGCGAAAGCAUGGGGAGCGAACAGG
rnacentral:rRNA from 1 species